GCGUUGCUCGGAAUGACUGGGCGUAAAGGGCGCGUAGGCGGAUCGCACAGUCGGGCGUGAAAUUCCCGGGCUCAACCCGGGGGCUGCGCUCGAUACAUGCGGUCUGGAGUUCGGAAGAGGGUCGUGGAAUUCCCAGUGUAGAGGUGAAAUGCGUAGAUAUUGGGAAGAACACCGGUGGCGAAGGCGGCGACCUGGUCCGACACUGACGCUGAGGCGCGAAAGCGUG
rnacentral:rRNA from 1 species